CUUCACAGCAGCCAGGGAUGCCUGGGCACAAGUGCCUGAGUUCCGAGGGACUUUGGGAAACACUUUGCUAACUCUCUCCUGCCUGGAAACCAGGAUUCUGCACCUGCCUGAUGGACAGUCUGGCCAGAGCCUCGGCCGUGCCCCCGGGGACAAGGAACUAGCACAAAUAACCGUUUGGAAAUUGGAUCGUGGCAAAAUUACCAAUAAGUCCAUAACGGAAACUGAAGGCAGUUUGAUCUACACCUUCAAUAACAGUCCCACAAAACUUGAAGAAAUAUGUUAUGUCUCCAAAGACAUAUACGCCAAAGAGCAUAGUUAUACCCUAAAAUUAGGACGUGAUUCAGGUACCUGCAAGCAAGAAUAAGAUCCUAUUUUCCAGUUGUGGAAAAGUUAAACUACUCAGAGAUGAGGGGUGUAAAAGAAAGCAUGAGAAGUCCAUCAGCAUCUUUGUCAUUGGUACCGAUGCCCUUAAAACAGCAACACUUAACAGUAUCCAUUCUCUGCAUCUUUUGUUAGAUUUCCUGAUAAAUUGGGACAUAAUCACCAGAAAAUUCAAUAAGGAGAAAUUAACACCUCAAGAGAGAAAAGAACAUUGGAUCUGAACAGAGAAGUCACAAA